rnacentral:rRNA from 1 species
UUNCCUNCGGGACAGNGGAGACAGGUGGUGCAUGGCUUGUCGUCAGCUCGAUGUCGUGAGAUGUUGGGUUAAGUCCCGCAACGAGCGCAACCCCUAUCUUUAGUANCCAGCNGCNAGGNCGGGCACUCUAGAGAGACUGCCNGGGAUAACCCGGAGGAAGGUGGGGAUGACNUCAAAUCAUCAUGCCCCUUAUGAGCAGGGCUACACACGUGCUACAAUGGCGUAAACAAAGGGAAGCGAGNCCGCNAGGNGNANCAAAUCCCAAAAAUAACGUCUCAGUUCGGAUUGUAGUCUGCAACUCGACUACAUGAAGCUGGAAUCGCUAGUAAUCGCGAAUCAGAAUGUCGCGGUGAAUACGUUCCCGGGUCUUGUACACACGCAANCCUUUG